UUUGAAGCUGUUACAUGUCUUUAGGGAAUAAAUUACUCUUGAACAAAAUGAUCUUAGAUAGUUUUCCCUUCAAGUCAAGCAUCUUAU
rnacentral:pre_miRNA from 1 species